rnacentral:rRNA from 1 species
AUUGAACGCUGGCGGCAGGCUUAACACAUGCAAGUCGAGCGAGCGGCGGACGGGUGAGUAAUGCUUAGGAAUCUGCCUAUUAGUGGGGGACAACAUCUCGACAGGGAUGCUAAUACCGCAUACUAAUAGAUGUGCCCAGAUGGGAUUAGCGAGUAGGUGGGGUAACGGCUCACCUAGGCGACGAUCCCUAGCUGGUCUGAGAGGAUGACCAGCCACACUGGACCUGAGACACUGUCCAGACUCCUACGGGAGGCAGCAGUGGGGAAUAUUGCACAAUGGGCGCAAGCCUGAUGCAGCCAUGCCGCGUGUGUGAAGAAGGCCUUCGGGUUGUAAAGCACUUUCAGCGGGGAGGCGUUACCCGCAGAAGAAGCACCGGCUAACUCCGUGCCAGCAGCCGCGGUAAUUC